AACUAAUGAACUUGUAUAAAGUGUUUACUUUGAAAGUAAAAAAAAGAAUGAUUCUAUUAGUUU
rnacentral:tRNA from 1 species